rnacentral:rRNA from 1 species
UACGUAGGGCGCAAGCGUUGUCCGGAAUUAUUGGGCGUAAAGAGCUCGUAGGCGGUUUGUCGCGUCUGCUGUGAAAACCUGAGGCUCAACCUCGGGCUUGCAGUGGGUACGGGCAGACUAGAGUGCGGUAGGGGUGACUGGAAUUCCUGGUGUAGCGGUGGAAUGCGCAGAUAUCAGGAGGAACACCGAUGGCGAAGGCAGGUCACUGGGCCGCAACUGACGCUGGAGGAGCGAAAGCUAGGGGAGCGAACAGG